rnacentral:rRNA from 1 species
UACGGAGGGGACUAGCGUUGUUCGGAAUUACUGGGCGUAAAGCGCACGUAGGCGGAUUUGUAAGUCAGGGGUGAAAUCCCGGGGCUCAACCUCGGAACUGCCUUUGAUACUGCAAAUCUCGAGUCCGGAAGAGGUGAGUGGAAUUUCUAGUGUAGAGGUGAAAUUCGUAGAUAUUAGGAAGAACACCAGUGGCGAAGGCGGCUCACUGGUCCGGUACUGACGCUGAGGUGCGAAAGCGUGGGGAGCAAAC